UACGUAGGGUGCGAGCGUUGUCCGGAAUUAUUGGGCGUAAAGGGCUCGUAGGCGGUUUGUCGCGUCGGGAGUGAAAACUCAGGGCUUAACCCUGAGCCUGCUUCCGAUACGGGCAGACUAGAGGUAUGCAGGGGAGAACGGAAUUCCUGGUGUAGCGGUGAAAUGCGCAGAUAUCAGGAGGAACACCGGUGCGAAGGCGGUUCUCUGGGCAUUACCUGACGCUGAGGAGC
rnacentral:rRNA from 1 species